rnacentral:rRNA from 1 species
GACGAACGCUGGCGGCGUGCUUAACACAUGCAAGUCGAACGGAAAGGCCCUGCUUUUGUGGGGUGCUCGAGUGGCGAACGGGUGAGUAACACGUGAGUAACCUGCCCUUGACUUUGGGAUAACUUCAGGAAACUGGGGCUAAUACCGGAUAUGAGCUCCUGCUGCAUGGUGGGGGUUGGAAAGUUUCGGCGGUUGGGGAUGGACUCGCGGCUUAUCAGCUUGUUGGUGGGGUAGUGGCUUACCAAGGCUUUGACGGGUAGCCGGCCUGAGAGGGUGACCGGCCGAAUUGGGACUGAGAUACGGCCCAGACUCCUACGGGAGGCAGCAGUGGAGAAUAUUGCACAAUGGGCGGAAGCCUGAUGCAGCAACGACGCGUGCGGGAUGACGGCCUUCGGGUUGUAAACCGCUUUCGCCUGUGACGAAGCGUGAGUGACGGUAAUGGAUAAAGAAGAACCGGCUAACUACGUG